rnacentral:misc_RNA from 1 species
GAUGAAGAACGUAGCGAAAUGCGAUAAGUAGUGUGAAUUGCAGAAUUCCGUGAAUCAUCGAAUCUUUGAACGCACAUUGCGCCUCCUGGUAAUCCGUGAGGCAUGCCUGUCCGAGCGUCAGUAAAAAGCAACUCGGCCGCGGCUGGCGGUUGGUGAUGGAGGAAGAGCACGUCUCGUUGUCGGUCUCCCCUCCCAAAAUCAACGGCGGAAUGUCACUGGCACUCGGUGUUGUAGUAUUAUUCGCCGAUCACCCAUUGUUGUUCCUGCCGCCCAAACCCCCACAAUUCUCUUGAUUGACCUCGGAUCAGGUAGGGAUACCCGCUGAACUUAAGCAUAUCAUAAGCGGAGGA